UGUCGCCACCCCCUGCGCACCUGUGGUUGCAUGUUUUCACUAUGGCGUGUCAAGGGGACAUUUCAGAACAGCGGGUGAUCUCGCGUGGCAAGGACUUGCCACAAGGUGUUUCACAGUGAUCAUCAGUACCGGUUGAUUGUGCUACAGACCGAGUCAUUGCCAUCUGAAAGGUGCUUGGCCAAACAAGUGAGUGGUGCCCUUCCCCCACCAACUGAACAGCCCUGGAACUAUGGGAGAAAAUCAGAUCGAGAUCUGGCUCCGACCUACAUGGCACCUCUCUACAGCGGAUGUGUCUAACUCAUAAAGCCACAACCAACCUUGGCUUUAAACAGAACCCUCCAGCAGCGAAGCCAAGGACUGAACUAACCUGGAGGCUACCCUU